CCUACGGGUGGCUGCAGUGGGGAAUAUUGGACAAUGGGGGGAACCCUGAUCCAGCGACGCCGCGUGAGUGAAGAAGGUUUUCGGUAUGUAAAGCUCUAUCAGCCGGGAAGAAAAUGACGGUACCCGACUAAGAAUCCCCGGCUAACUACAUGCCAGCAGCCAUGGUAAUACGUCGGGGGCAAGCGUUAUCCGGAUAUACUGGGUGUAAAGGGAGCGUAGACGGUGCAGCAAGUCUGAUGUGAAAGGUCGGGGACCAACCCCGGGACUGCCUUGGAAACUGUUGAACUGGAGUACAGGAGAGGUAAGCGGAAUGCCCAGUGUAGCGGUGAAAUGCGUAGAUAUUAGGAGGAACACCAGUGGCGAAGGCGGCUUACUGGACUGUCACUGACGUUGAGGCUCGAAAGCGUGGGGAGCGAACAGGAUUAGAUACCCCAGUAGUC
rnacentral:rRNA from 1 species